UACAGAGGGGGCAAGCGUUGUUCGGAAUUACUGGGCGUAAAGGGCGCGUAGGCGGCCCGCUAAGUCGAACGUGAAAUCCCCGAGCUCAACUCGGGAACUGCGUCCGAUACUGGCGGGCUUGAGUCCGGAAGAGGCGAGUGGAAUUCCCGGUGUAGCGGUGAAAUGCGCAGAUAUCGGGAGGAACACCAAUGGCGAAGGCAGCUCGCUGGGACGUGACUGACGCUGAGACGCGAAAGCGUGGGGAGCAAACAGG
rnacentral:rRNA from 1 species